AGAGUUUGAUCCUGGCUCAGGACGAACGCUGGCGGCACGCUUAACACAUGCAAGUCGAACGAGAGAAGAGGAGCUUGCUUUUCUGAUCUAGUGGCGGACGGGUGAGUAACACGUGAGCAAUCUGCCUUUCAGAGGGGGAUACCGAUUGGAAACGAUCGUUAAUACCGCAUAACAUAAUUGAACCGCAUGAUUUGAUUAUCAAAGAUUUAUCGCUGAAAGAUGAGCUCGCGUCUGAUUAGCUAGUUGGUAAGGUAACGGCUUACCAAGGCGACGAUCAGUAGCCGGACUGAGAGGUUGAUCGGCCACAUUGGGACUGAGACACGGCCCAGACUCCUACGGGAGGCAGCAGUGGGGAAUAUUGCACAAUGGAGGAAACUCUGAUGCAGCGAUGCCGCGUGAGGGAAGAAGGUUUUAGGAUUGUAAACCUCUGUCUUCAGGGACGAAAAAAGACGGUACCUGAGGAGGAAGCUCCGGCUAACUACGUGCCAGCAGCCGCGGUAAUACGUAGGGAGCGAGCGUUGUCCGGAAUUACUGGGUGUAAAGGGAGCGUAGGCGGGAUCGCAAGUCAGAUGUGAAAACUAUGGGCUUAACCCAUAAACUGCAUUUGAAACUGUGGUUCUUGAGUGAAGUAGAGGUAAGCGGAAUUCCUAGUGUAGCGGUGAAAUGCGUAGAUAUUAGGAGGAACAUCAGUGGCGAAGGCGGCUUACUGGGCUUUAACUGACGCUGAGGCUCGAAAGCGUGGGGAGCAAACAGGAUUAGAUACCCUGGUAGUCCACGCCGUAAACGAUGAUUACUAGGUGUGGGGGGACUGACCCCUUCCGUGCCGCAGCAAACGCAAUAAGUAAUCCACCUGGGGAGUACGACCGCAAGGUUGAAACUCAGAGGAAUUGACGGGGGCCCGCACAAGCAGUGGAGUAUGUGGAUUAAUUCGAAGCAACGCGAAGAACCUUACCAGGUCUUGACAUCGUAUGCAUAGCUCAGAGAUGAGUGAAAUCUCUUCGGAGACAUAUAGACAGGUGGUGCAUGGUUGUCGUCAGCUCGUGUCGUGAGAUGUUGGGUUAAGUCCCGCAACGAGCGCAACCCUUACUGUUAGUUGCUACGCAAGAGCACUCUAGCAGGACUGCCGUUGACAAAACGGAGGAAGGUGGGGAUGACGUCAAAUCAUCAUGCCCCUUAUGACCUGGGCCUCACACGUACUACAAUGGCUGUCAACAGAGGGAAGCAAAGCCGCGAGGUGGAGCGAACCCCUAAAAGCAGUCUUAGUUCGGAUUGUAGGCUGCAACCCGCCUACAUGAAGUCGGAAUUGCUAGUAAUCGCAGAUCAGCAUGCUGCGGUGAAUACGUUCCCGGGCCUUGUACACACCGCCCGUCACGCCAUGGGAGUCGGUAACACCCGAAGCCUGUAGUCUAACCGCAAGGAGGACGCAGUCGAAGGUGGGAUUGAUGAUUGGGGUGAAGUCGUAACAAGGUA
rnacentral:rRNA from 1 species